CAAUAUCUCCCAAGUUUUAAGCACAUCCCAAACUUUGCUUAACGUCGGAGUUCAGCAAAGUCACAUAGAGUUGUUUGAUGAAAUGGUUUGUGAUGAAAGCACAACGUCAAAUAACAAUCAAACCUUCUCUUGGCCAAUGACAAAAAUAGGAACUACUGCAGUGAUCCCAUGUCAUGCAUAUGUAGCAACAAGAUACUGUUCUCCCAGAGACUCUGAAAUGGCAUCAAGUCAAUAUAUGACGACAGCAAAGUGUUCACCGUUUACUGGUAUCUGGAAAGAACUAAACAUGUCUCAAUGUAACAAUACA